UAGAAGAUAAUUGGAGCUGAUACGUGUCGUUCCCCGCCUUCCCCCACCGGUUCUGCUUACCUUCCCCCCACCUGCUUCAGAACGCCUAAGGUUUCUUGCUUUCUUCCCCUCCAUCUCCCUCUAAACUCAUCAGCAAGAUUCCUUUUGUUUUAGGGCCUUAGGAACCGAGUGAAGCUUCCAUCUUGGUUUCGAGGUCUUUGGCCAGUGCUUUCUCCGUGUCCGUUCCCGAAUCCGUCUUUACUUUAUGUCCAGUUUCGUACGUCUUCUUCAACCAUACCACCGCCAUCUUUUCGUCUCCUUCGAUGCUUGCCUGGUCUAUUCCUACGUAUAGUGAACCGACUUAUGAAUAGUACCGUUCUUCCAUCUUUUGUGUUUUCACUACGAUUCAAAGUUGGAUAAGGAGAUUGAGGGCCAGCGGGUUCUGGGAAGAGGCAAUUGGAUGCUUUAGGUAGGGAAUAUCGUCGCAGUUUGUAGCAAUUUAUGAACUCAUUUUGUGACAAAUUGAUACCUACUACUCAAUUUACGAGAACUGAUGUAUGUACCAGCCAUAAAAAAAGGCUACGAUCACUUUUUUGGUUAAAAACUUUAUGUCAUUUGUGAUCAGCCACCUUACAAACUGCAUGAUUGUGAUUGAAUGUAGCCCCUCCUACUUUAUGCCUCUUCUCACUGUUCCUCUCUCAUCUCUCCAAUUCAUGAUCAUAUGUCACAAGAUGAAAAAAAUGAAAUACUCAUUUGUGUAGGUGAAGAAAGAGCAGGAGUAGUGUGGAUAUUUGGAUGAUAGAAAAGGGCUAGCAUGAUAGUGUGCGGAGAUACUUAUGACUAUUAUCAACUACCGAAGCUGAUGAACUGGCUACAAAGCUUAAUGAAGAUGAUAGACGAAUUGAAUGUUUCUGUUGGCCAGGUUUUAUGUAGUAGGAUAAACGAAAACAGCUUUAGCAGUUGGAUACCGGAAAAAUAAAUAGAAGCAUACAUCUGAAAUGAAAACAACACUCUUUGUUGGUGCAGCAAAAGUUUAUUCAUCUUUGGCUUCAAAAGCAAUGUCAAGACAUUUUAGGUGUUUGAGAGAUGGAAUUGUAAGUCAGAUCAAGGUGACGAAGAAGGCAAUGGGAGAAAAAGACAUUUCUUCCCCUGAUGCAAUGAGAGGAGAGACUCCCAGACUAAGGGUUCUUGAUCAGACGCUGAGGCAAGAAUGGCCUUUUCAACAGAUGACGAUGAUGGAUAGCCACCCAUGGCGUCCUCAACGGGGGUUGCCUGAGUGAUCUGUAUCCAUUCUUCGUGCUUGGCUCUUUGAACACUUCUUCCACCCGUACGCGAACGGCUACUAUCAUCUCUCUCGAUCCAAUGAUCUUGUGUGGCCUUUCUUUUACUUCACAAGUGAACAUAACCUGUUAGGGUCACCAUUAGAGUAUGGACCUAUAACACCUUUGUCGGACGAAAAGUUGUUGGUGUUCAUUUUCAUUUUCUUUUAGUGAAACCAUAUAGACACAUGUUUGUUACUCUUAGGUAUUUGUCCCCAAAAAUUCUAUGAUAUUUUAUUCCUACUACUUUAUCAGUAUUUGUUCUGUUGUUUUGCAAAAUACAUCGACACAAACAGGUUUGAUACAAGUUGUACCUUACAUCAGAUUCUAAGUAUUGGUUGUUACAGAGAUUUUUUUGUCUUACUUUGUUUGUUACAAGGACUUGGUUGUUUCCUCAUUUGUGUGAUGAUGUUCAAUUAGGAGUGGUGGUAGAUUCAUAUGGGUGAAAGUUGAAUAUACAGUUGGUAGAAAGCUUUUGACAUCUUCUCACACCAAGAUUAGUUUCUGUGUUUGUUUCUUCAAGGUUCAUUGUUUUGGGUCUUUACUCUUUAAUUUUCUAUUUUUGUCAUGAAUAUUUGGAGAUAAUAUCUAUGUUUUUACUGUUAUGGAUGAACUUUUGGUCGGCUUCCACCAGGUAU